rnacentral:rRNA from 1 species
UGAGGCUAAACCCUUAUAGGGGAUUAUGUCUGGAAUGACUUUUCCCUCAAACGCAAGGCCUAAGGAUGGGACGGCGGCCGAUUAGGUUGUUGGCGGUGUAAUGGACCACCAAGCCAAAGAUCGGUACGGGUCUUGAAAGAGAUAGCCCGGAGAAGGGCACUGAGAUACUGGCCCUAGCCCUACGGGGUGCAGCAGGCGCGAAAACUUUACACUACACGCAAGUGUGAUAAGGGAACUCCAAGUGCUUAUACUAAGUAUAGGCUUUUGCCAAAGUCAAAACCUUUGGCGAAUAAGUGGUGGGUAAGACGGGUGCCAGCCGCCGCGGUAACCCCCGCGCCACAAGUGGGGACCACAUUUAUUGGGCCUAAAGCGUCCGUAGCCGAUCUAGUAAAUCUGCUGUGAAAUUGUUGCGCUUAACGUAACAGCGCGCAGUGGACACUGCUAGAAUUGGGACUGGGGGGAGUCAUGAGUAUUUCUGGGGGAGCGGUAAAAUGUUAUAAUCCCAGAAGGACUACCCGUGGUGAAAACGUAUGACUAACACAGAUCCGACGGUGAGGGACGAAAGCUGGGGGAGCAAUCCGGAUUAGAUACCCGAGUAGUCCCAGCUGUAAACUCUGCGAGCU